rnacentral:rRNA from 1 species
AUUGAACGCUGGCGGCAGGCUUAACACAUGCAAGUCGAGCGAGCGGCGGACGGGUGAGUAAUGUCUGGGAAACUGCCUGAUGGAGGGGGAUAACUACUGGAAACGGUGGCUAAUACCGCAUACUAUCGGAUGAACCCAUAUGGGAUGAGUUAGUUGGUGGGGUAAAGGCUCACCUAGUCGACGAUCUCUAGCUGGUCUGAGAGGAUGACCAGCCAAACUGGGACUGAGACACGGCCCAGACUCCUACGGGAGGCAGCAGUGGGGAAUAUGGCACAAUGGGCGCAAGCCUGAUGCAGCCAUGCCGCGUGUAUGAAGAAGGCCUUAGGGUUGUAAAGUACUUUCAGCGGGGAGGCGUUACCCGCAGAAGAAGCACCGGCUAACUCCGUGCCAGCAGCCGCGGUAAUAC